ensembl:snoRNA LOC120103295 small nucleolar RNA SNORA17
CCUCCCCCAAGAGGCAUUGCAGUUGUGGCUGCUGUGUCACAUGUGUAUCUCUAGGUGGGAGAGGGGUGAGAGGCUAUGUCUAUGCUAAGUGUUCUUACCUGUGAACAUCUGAAUGAUUAAUAGCCUAACAUU